UGCUGCUGCUGAUGAUGAUGAUGAUGAUGAUCUCACUGAGUCAUAAUCAUCAUCAUCAUUUCGU
rnacentral:miRNA from 1 species